rnacentral:lncRNA from 1 species
CAAAUGAAGCGUGCUCACAAAAAUUUUAAGCCAGGCUUGCAGAGCAAACAAAAUAUAAAACCGUGUUUGCAGAAAAACCAAAGCAAAUUCAGUAGAAAAUACAUGCCUCACAGAACGUAAGUUCUGUGGGAACCAGAGUACUCUCCAAAAGAACACUUGGCCUUAUACCAGAAGAGGCUUUCCAGAAAAGACAAAAAGUCUUUUGUAGUCCCACAAGGGUUGCAAGGUCCUUAAUUUAAGGUGGCCUUAUAGCCAAAUCCAGAUCCUGAAUAAAGUCAAAAGAACUUACCAAACGAAGGACGUCUGAGAAUCUAAGCAGAGAUUCACCAGAGCAGAGAAGGAAGGCCAUAGAAGCAGAGGCCACAAAAGGGGUCAAUGUUGGUACCUCACUAGAUUCCAGGGGAUGCUGGCCUGUUUGAGGUCAGCUGACUUCUUGACACAAACUUUAUGUCAACCUAAAUAGCAGACACAGAGAGAAGAUGUCUAAAAGAAAAUUGUAUUUAUUCAGGAAUGAGUAUUGCAAUGGGAAUAUAGUGGGUGUAUUCAGGGAGGUAAAGAAAGACAAGGGCUUUUAAAGAAGUGAGGAGGGUUACAUGAGUUUUUUGAAACAAUUAUCUUUGGCUACAAGGAUCACUAACAAAGGUGGUAGUAGUUCAAGGUUGGACAGCCAGUUGCUGGGCAGCUGUCUUAACCAAAGUAUUUUUGUAUGUGUAAGGUUGUGGUGGCCUUUGUGCAAGGUUGUUGUGAUUUUUGCAGUCUUUGUGAUCGUUCCUCUUAUCAGGUAUAUGUGCAUGAGAACCUUCUUUUCAUCACCUUCCCUGGCUCCAUUUGUCCUGCUACGGUGACACCAGUCUUUUAGUCCAUACAUUUGACUUCAUGAGGAGUUUGCUAUAAUCAAUUGAAUGAAGAAGAAACAUGUGGACCUGCUUUAUAGGAAUGAUGCCAGGGGGAUGAAUAGUUUUGCUGGAUGGUCAUGGACUUCAAAGAAGCAUGAUUGAUAAUUGGUUGACAAGGCAAAUUGACAAUGAGGUAUGUGAGUGGACUACUUUUAAUGAGCAGAAUAUAAAAUUACUUGCGGCCUAUUUAAUUGUCAAUAAUCAGCAACCUCACCAGAAGAUGAGCUUAAUAAUCAGGUGAUCAAGAUGGUACAUUCUGUGAAUAUUCUUCAAGAUUUUUCUCUAGUCAACCAUGUCCAUUCCCAGUGGGUGCAUGAACAGUGUAGUCAUGGUGGAAGAAAUGGAGCUUAUUAGUUCAGUACUAUGAAAUUCCAUUUACUAAAUCCAAUCUGGCUACAACCACAUUUAUAUGGCCAAGCUAUCAAAAGUAUGGACUAACACUGGACCUCAGAUAGGCACUGUUCUUCAAAGGGGACUACCAACCUCCUGCUGGAAUUUGAUUACACCGGACCACUUUGAUCAUGGAGGAGACAGCACUUUGUUUUCAGUGGAAAAGACAAUUACUCUAGAUAUGAAUUUGCCUUUCCUAUUCCAAUGUUUCUGAUAAAAGCAUCACAUGUGGACUUUACAAAAUGUUUUAUUUUCUGCCAUGGAAUUCCACCCAGCAUUUCUUGUGACCAGGGCAGUCAUUUUUCAAAAAAUGAAUUGUAUCCAUUGGGCUCAUGUUGAUAGAAUUCACUAAACUUACCAUGAUUCCUGUUAACAGUUCCAUUUCAGUAGUGGGACAUGCCUCAAUUCUCAGAAGUCCUACCAUCUCUGAUUUGUCUUCCCAUGUUUGUUUACCUAAUUCCUACUUUAAAAUGUCCUUGUCCCUAAAAUCCUAGUGAUUCUGCUUCUCUGAUUGAACCCUGACUGAUAUUGAACCAUUUCUGCUCCUUUUCAGACACUACCCCUCUCUCUCAACUAUAAUCACUUUCCUAACUUCUAUCACCAUUGACUACUUUUCCUUUUAUCUUUAUAUAUAUGAAACCAUAUUGUAUAUAUCCUUUUGUGUCUCUGUUUUGCCCAACAUUAUGUUUGUGAGAUUGAACUAUGCUGCUGUUUUAUAGCAAUUGUUUACUUAUUUUGUUACUGUAGAGCAAGUGUAGGCACACUACAUCCCAUGGGUGAAAUCUUGUAUAUAUUUCGGGGUGCACAUGUGUGUGUGUUUCUGCUUGCUAGAAGUGGAAUUUCUGUGUCAUGGAGAAUACAUAAAUUUAACUCUAGCAGAUACUGUGAAACAUUUUCCAAAGUGAUUGUACCAAUUUACACUCUUACAAGGACCGUGGUAGAGUUCCAUCUGCUCCACGUGCUUGCCAAUGUUUGGUGUUGUCAGACUUAAAUUAUUUUUAAAUUAUUUUUUAAAUUCACCAUUCUAAUUUUUUAAAAGAAGUAGAGUAUAAUGCUGGUUACCAGGGGCUGGAGUGGAGGGGUUGGGACAUAUUGGUCAAAAGAUAUAACAUGUCAGUUAUACACGAGUAAUUUUUAAAAAAUCAGUGAUUCUGGUAUGGCAAUAGAGUUGUCUCAUUGAGGGUUUAAUUUAUACUGCUGUAAUGACUAAUGAAGUUGAGCAAACAGAGCAUGUAUCUGAAGCCUUGUACAUUUGUAUAUUCUUCAUAUAGUGCUUACUCAAGUGAUUUGUUGAUUUGUCUAUUUGGUUGUCAGUCUUAUUCUUGUAUUUAUAGGAUUUCUUUAUAUUCUGCUUACAAGCCUUUUGACAUAUGUGUGUAUUGUGAUUAUCUUUUCAACUGUGGCCAGCAUUUUCACUUUCCUUAUGGUACAUUUGAUAAACAACCAUUCUCAUUUUAAGUUUUUUAAUUUUACUUUUCAGUUGGUACUUUAAAAAAUCGUUGCCAACAUUAGAGAAGGUCACAAAGAUAUUUUAGUAGCUAUUUAAAAAAAUCUUUUAAUUUUAAGAUCUAUAUUCCAUAUCAUAUUGAUAUUUACAUAUGGGAUGUGCUAAAGGUCAAGAUUAAUUAUUUUUCUAUGUGAAGAAUAUACAAUAUCCUCACUUCUUAAGAGAUUUCUCCAUUUUAUUAUCUUUGUCAAAUAUCAAAUGACUAGAUAUAUGUAAAUCUGUUUCUGAACUUUCUAUUAUCUUCCAUUAGUCUAUUCAUAUUUGCAUAUAUAGCACACUUUUAAUUACUGCAAAUACAUAAAAUGUCUUGAUGUCUUAUCG